AAACGCCCCCUUAGCUCUCUCUCUCUCUAACACUCACUCUGCUUGCAGACAUACUCCCUCAGCUCUCUCUGUGUCUAACGCUCUGUAAAAUCGCUCCUAAACACUCCGAUCUUGUUCAUUUUGCUCUAUUCUUUAGGUUGUCUACUCUAUUUCUAUCACAAUUUGAUUGUGACCGCCUACUAUCGCUAUUAACAGAAAGCCAUUGUUUCGUCUAUACACCAACCUCAUUUACAAUGUUCGAACUCACUAAUUUUUGUUCGAUCUACUGUUUAAGAAUCAUUUAUGUUGUUUUAGACUAAGAGGUUAGAGAUGAGUGAAAAACCCUAACUGUGGAUUCUACCGGUUGUGUGAAAACCUAAUAUACAGGAAUUUCUGGAGCAAUAACAGCAAGAUUAAUGAUAACAAUGGCGUUUUGGUGUAAAAGUUGUCUCAAUAGUGUACAUACAACAACAUUUGCGAAAGAAUAGUGAACAGAUUUUAUAGUGUGAAAACAAAGAAAGGAAAAUGUAACAGUGUGUACGAAAUAGUGCUUACCUCUUCAUCGCAUACCACAAGCUCUCUACUCUUCAUCUGUUUCGCACCUCUCCUUUCAGGUAUUUCAUAAACUCUGACACACCUAAUUCGAAUGGCCCUCUCUCUAUUUAGAGGGACAACAUCUUUAACCAAAAUAUAUUGACUUGGCAUCUUAAAAUAUGCAGGGGUUUACAAAUUGGUUUACUACUUAAGGCUGAUUUGGAACAAUGGUGGGUGAAAAAAGCUUGACAGUGAGGUUUAUAUAGGCUGAAGAAGUGGAAUUCGAAAGUUGAACCUACCAUUAUUUGCAGCCGGAAUAUUGAUGGAAACCUUUUAGUUUCCAAGAAUUUAAUCUCAAUAAUCAUGCAGAUUUUUUGGAAGCAUUUAUUUUAAAUACAUUUUUAAAUCUGUAUGUGUGUAUCUUAAGGUCUUUACGUGUAUAUAUUUAAAUCGA